AACGAACGCUGGCGGCAUGCCUAACACAUGCCAGUCGAACGAGACCUUCGGGUCUAGUGGCGCACGGGUGCGUAACGCGUGGGAAUCUGCCCUUGGGUUCGGAAUAACAGUUGGAAACGACUGCUAAUACCGGAUGAUGACGUAAGUCCAAAGAUUUAUCGCCCAAGGAUGAGCCCGCGUAGGAUUAGCUAGUUGGUGAGGUAAAGGCUCACCAAGGCGACGAUCCUUAGCUGGUCUGAGAGGAUGAUCAGCCACACUGGGACUGAGACACGGCCCAGACUCCUACGGGAGGCAGCAGUGGGGAAUAUUGGACAAUGGGCGAAAGCCUGAUCCAGCAAUGCCGCGUGAGUGAUGAAGGCCUUAGGGUUGUAAAGCUCUUUUACCCGGGAUGAUAAUGACAGUACCGGGAGAAUAAGCUCCGGCUAACUCCGU
rnacentral:rRNA from 1 species